GUCUACGGCCAUCCCACCCUGAACGCGCCCGAUCUCGUCUGAUCUCGGAAGCUAAGCAGGGUCGGGCCUACAUCUCUUGGAUGGGAGAAGUAGAAA
rnacentral:rRNA from 1 species